rnacentral:lncRNA from 1 species
UGCUUCAGAGUCGGCUUCAAUGGUGUUUUCCGAGUUGUUUUCUUAAAUAUCCUAUGAUGACUCUCUCCCCUCUUCUUAUCUUUGUCAUAUAUAGCUUUUAAAAUGCCCGAAAAACCUAAAAUAAUGCGAUUUCCUAUAGGUUUGGAGUGCGAUUCGCAAUUUUCACACAGCCUGGCACAUGGCCAUGUGGCAGUCCGUGUGGCUCUUGAAACUUGCUCCGAUUUUCCAAUUUUCCGAUUUUCUCCCCUUUUGCUCCCAAAUGCUCUCCUAAGUAUAGAAACAUGAAUUUAAAAGAUUAGGAGCAUAAAAUUCACCAUUUUAAAUCAAACAAUCAUGCAAAAAUGCAUUAAAAUGAGGCUAAAACAUGUUACUUUUGGCAUUUAUCACAUAUCUAUUACUUAUUUACAAUUAAAGAAGCCUGAAAUGAUAUGUAUAACCUAUAUAUACACACAAGUACGAUUAUAUCUCUUAAUUAUUUACUAUUGAUGCCUUGAAAAUUACUCUAAAAAAAUUAUAUAACAACUAAUAAUUGACCAUUUCCACUAGUAGAAAUGAAAAGAGAUAAGGUGCCAUAUUUGUUGCAAGAUGAUCAUUCAUGUAACAUGCACGACCGGCGAACUCCCUAAAUUUGGUGUACUCUCCAGGAAUGGCGAACUAAUCAAGAUUGGUGAAUAGAACAUGACAGAUAGACCAAGUGGCGUACACAUAUGUAAAUCCUUGGCGGAUAGUUUUUCUAAAGCAACAACUUUACCACUUGGUAAGACUACUCUGUAGACACUGCCAUUAUGAAAUGUUCCAAAGCAAUAUUUGAUAUCAAAAUCCUCUGUUGCUUUCAGAUGUCUUCAAAUGCAAUCUUUCAAUCAAAAUACUGAAGUAGCACCAUGUUAAAAAUUCAAAGCGCAAAAUUUUUUUAAAAAUAAACUUUAACUUCAUUUUUUUUAAUUAUUCUCUAAAUACACAAUAAAUAAAAUAUAAAUAUAAACAAUAUAGUUAAAAACAUAAAUAACAUAAUUCAAGGGAGAAAUAUCACAAAUAAUUGAUAAAUUACACACUUAUCAUUGAAUCCUUAAAGCCCUGCCAAAUCUCAAGGAUAUAUAGCUUUUACUUCUUCCCAUUUCUAGGCUAUACAAUUAGAGCGCACCGGAUCCAACUUAAAAUCUAGAACUAGCAAUAGAGUGCAGGC